UGUUAAGCAAAUACUCUCCUACUAAUUUACAUUGCCAAGCCUCUUUUCUUUUCUUUCUUCUUCUUUUCUUUCUCUUCUCUUCUUCUUUUUUUUUUUUUUAAGAAGAUGUCUCAUAUACUUUCCUUGAACUUGUAGCCUUACUGCCUGUGCCUUCUAUAUGCUAAAAAUCUCAAGUGUGCACCAUGGUACCAUUCUAGGAUGUCCUUUGAUGUUUCUAUUCUAUCAAAAUAGAAGGACUAUUUUUGACCUUCAAACUACUAAAAUAUCUAUUGUUAUCUGAUGAACCAGUCAGAUUUAUGAGUGUUGUACCUUACAUUAAAAUGUACUCAUUUCAUGAUCACAGAGAUGUUUCAGUGGCUAAGACUACCUUGCACUAAGCUUAGUGAUCUCAAUUAUGUCCACAACACCCACAUCAUAGAAAGAGAACUGACUCCAGCAAGUUGUCUUCUACAGGUGACAAAACAAGUAAUUCAAUAUAUUGUGCAUAGAAGAUGCUGUUGACAAGAAAACAUAUCUCCCAUCUUAAAGGAACAAAACCAGAGUUUUCUCUGAAGCCAUUUUGAGUAACCAUGCCUGGAGAUGACAGACUUACAUUACCUCAAUUCGUUUUCCAACUUGGAAGCAGUUUCAUGAAGUUUUAUAGUAUUACUUACCAAAGUUUGUGUUUUAGACUCCAUAAUUGCCAAUUUCAGCAAGCACUGCCGUGGAACUUGUAAUGGGCUUAACAUUCUGCAACUUCAAUGCGAACAUCUGGAUUCACAUGUCUAUGGGGCACACUGCUGAGAAAAGCUGGGGUCAAAUGAAGCUGCUGUUUUUAAAGGAAGAAUCAACUUCAUAACCCUCUGCUCCAGGACUAGGAAUAAUGGAUAUAUCCAACAUUAAAAGAAGGCUCCCAACAGAUUUCUGAAAAGGACACUAGAUGUGACACAUGGGCCCUUGAAGAAUCAGACCAGCAGGAGCUGAAAAGCGCAGGUGAACAUUGACCUAAAGUCCAGAGGAAAACACCUGGUGGCAACACUACCAACAACAUAACAACAGGCAGGACGACGAGGGGGCACUGGAAAUUCCAUUUGCAUGAAGCAGUCUGGGAACGGCCUGGCAAGAAGUCCUGGUUGGUGAAAAACAGAUCUGGUUCUUAUUGUUUUCCCUGUGAGUAAGCAACCGAAGAAAUGUGGGUGUGUGCUGCUGGAAAAGAAAAUAGCGUUUGGCGAAAUGUGUGAAUCACUGUUGUUAAUUGUCACAGCAAAUACAUAGGAAGGGAUUACUUAGCUGCUAACAUUAAAACAAAUAAAGACGGUCA